AUAUCUCGCUCCGCCAGUACAUAUACUAAAAUGGGAACGAUACAGCGAAGAUUAGCAUGGUCUCGGCGCAAGGAUGACAUGCACAUUCUCCCUCGCUAUCUCUCUCUGU